UCAUCAUAGUUCCAACCAAAACAUCAUUCGUCCAUUUUAUUAUUUUCUCACAACUGAUUUCAGAACGCUUAAUGCGCAACCUACUUCUGCAUUCGGCAAACAGGUGACGUUCCGUAAAGCGCGGAUUAUUUCGUGAAGAGGCAUGAUGAAGCGGACACCACGGUACACUAUUUGGCAGGAAGUACAACGCAGCGGACGCUCGACUGAGUCAAAUGUUGACAGUCACAGGUUGAUGCAAAUGAUCACCGUUCAACAUGUCAAACUUAUCCACCUUGGUACUUCAACAUGGCUCAACACAAUAACAUCAGUAUUACUGAUUCUAUAUUUAAAAGAAAUCAAUGUAACAUACAUUAUUAAACCGGGAGACAUUCGAGCUAUAAACCAGCGCGAUUAUCUCGUAGCUAAGCAUACAUGCAAGUGAAACUCAAGAGUCGGUGCACUUCAGAGCUGUGCAAAAUAAGGCGUUGCUAACAGAGCAAAGUUCUUAAGCCGAACUGUCACCAUACUGCGACGAUAGAAAGAGACGCAGUGUCGCCCUUGAAUUCAAUGUUCGCGAAACAGCAAACGCUCCAUUUCAAACGUAGCCUGACAGCAUGUUAGCCAGCUAGAUAGCUUGUCCAACAAAACCUAUUGAGAUUCAAUGGUGCUAAAAGGUUAGCAUGCUAUCUCUGUAGCUAAGAGAAGCUAACAUCCACACAGCCUCACCUUCGGGUCAAUGUCCCCAACCACGUAGAAUUUGACAUCUUUAAAAAGUUCACCAACAACCGUACUUUCCUCUUCAGACAUGUUUAUCCAUUAAGGUCGUAUGAUAAAACAUUUACACCAGCCCAAAGCGACACAGUUUAAAACAACUGUACGUUACUGCGGCUGCUACGGAGCUUGCAGUGAGAGCCGAGCUACUCAAGCGCCAAAUCGCUGAGCGCGCCGCGGACGACACCAUUCUCAAAAGAAGAGGGGUGGUCUUUUUUUUUCACACACACACACACACACACACACACCCCCACCCUUAACUUCAGCACAUCAAUUCAUUCCAGAAAGUAUGAAUUACACACUGGAGUCACUUUGAGCAGUAAAAAGCAUUUAGUGGAUCUCGAGAGCACAAGUAUUUUUUGUAAUAUAAAUAAUACAAGGCACCCCUAUACCAGUCAGGCUAAUAUUUUGCCUUAUUUUUUCGUAACUCUUUCUAUUUCCCCCAUUAACUGUAGAUUGAGAAACACAAUCCCAUUCAUUGUAAUGUUACGGGGAAAGAGAUUUCUAAAAGAGAAGAGAACUUUACUUUUGAACUGAAGUACACUUCAGUUAGCAAAAGGGUUGUCAUCAGGCUUUAAACCUAUACUGUAAAUAAAUACAAAUACAAGUCAUAGUAAUAUAUGAAUAAAUAUAUACAUUUAUGCAUAUAUCAGGGCUGUCAAUCGAUCCAUUGUUUAAAUCAAAUUAAUCACACUUUUACAUUUUGAUUACUCGCUUUCAGACUUUAAAAUAACUUUAAAAAAGAACCCAAUAUUUUGACACCAAUAGAUUUUUUUCUGUCAAAAUGUCAUACAAGAGCAUGUUUGAAAUGUCUUACUUGCAUGCGUGCCGUUCAUUUGUUCCAAACGACUGAGUGGCAACUACUCCGUCAGUUGGGAUAGGCUCCUGCUCCCCGUGACCCUGUACACCAUAUAUGUCAAACGCAGGCCCACGAUGUCAUUAUAUUUGGCCCGCACGACCAUAUCCCAUGCGCAUUAGAGCUGGCCUGCCAGUAUAUAAAACAUGCGCCACUAAUAUUACAUUAUUGGAUAAACACCUCACUCGCUGUUUGCUGAAUAUGUAAAGAUCAAGUAAACAAAAGAAUCACGACAAAUGUCUCCAACCACCUACAGAUGUGUCAUGGCAUUUCCCACAACGCCGAGCGUCCGAGCGCCUCUUGCAGCGUUCCCACAAAAGUAGCAACGCAAGGUUACCUCAGCUCUGCAGAAGCCUCAGGUCUCGCCAUCAUGUUAAGUCAGAGUCGAGGCCAAAACUCAGUUCAGGCAAAUGCAUCACAGCAGCAAUUGCGAAGUUUAUCUGCAAAGACAUGUGACCCUACAGCGUGGUCCUGUGAAAUGAUUGGGACAUGAUGCCACUUCUCAGAAAAGGUUCUUCCUGCAUUGUGCGUAAGGAUUAAGAAUGACACGAAGCUGGCCCUCUCUCACGAGCAGUUGAACGAGCAGUGAUGACCGCAGAUGGCUGGAUGCCAUGCUCAAAUCAAGCGUAUGAGACAAUUGCCUCGCAUGACGCUGAUCCGGAGUGGAAAAUGAAGACCUUUGUUCUGCAAACCAGAGUUUUAAAUGAAGCUCAUACUGAUCAAAAAUAUUGGUCUGGAAGGAGUGGAAAAUCUCGCGGCAGGUGCGGAAUGCCACUUGAGUCCGCACAUGAUGUGUUUCGCACAUACACACGACCUUGCCUCGAACAACGGAUAGGGGGUGGACCGUGCUUCCGGUUUGUUGGGGAAAGUGCAAAAAUGCGGGUGUUAUUUUCACCGCAGCCCGAUUAAUGUCACGUCGUCCUAUGGCAAAAACAAAAUCUGAUGGAUUUAGCAAAACAUAAACGGAUCCAAGACAUCAUCUCCAAGUUGAACAGUUCAUUUUCUGGAACAUCAGCCGGCUACAAUGGCAACUGUGGCGCUCACAGAUGUAGGCACGCUGAGUGAGAGCGAUAUUGGCAACAUGGAGGACAUGGUUCAUUGGAUGGGUCCUGUCGAAACGGCAACCACCGUGAUGUGUGAAGAGGACCGGCCAGCUUUCUGUAACUGCGCCUCUUCAAGCAAAAGCGCCCACAGCCGUCGGAAGGCUGAGAGGGCGACGGCCAACGACCGCGCCGCACGAUACACAGGAACCAAAGAGGCGCUCGACAUUAGUUAGUUCGAGACCUCAAAGCCAUGAGGCACAUUAGGCUGCAAUUGCGGUUUCUGUAAUCUGUAGUUUAGGCGGUCUCCCGUCCAAGUACUAACUAGGACUGACCCCGCUUAGCUUCCGAGAUCGGACGAGAUCUCGCGGCAUGUGUGGAUUGGGCCGUACAGUAGGUCGUUCCUUUUUGAUCAAUGUUGGUUCAUAUUUGAUUACUGAAAAAAAGGUUAACUUUGUGUUGAGUGAACCUGCAGUGAUGAUUGCACUUUAUUCAAAUACAAUGUGAAUGUAUUUGCCAUUCCUUUUUUUCAGGUAGAGUAUUGAUUUCGCAGUCACAGUGGUAGAAGUUUUGGCCAAAAAGUUACUGAAUCGAUUUUAAGCCACUGAAUCUUUUGGGACGGUAUCGUUCAAAAUGAGGCAAAUAUCAUCCUUGAAUCGAAUCGGGAACCACAAAUCGUGAUCCAAAUCGAAUCGUUGCUAAAACGAAUCGUUACACCCCUGGUUUACAUGCGUUUAAAAAAAAGUUGGGUUUCAAUCAACUAAAUGUAAUAGUUUGACUUUGUGAAUGAGUAUAAACACACUGAGUGUCACGAAGGACGAGAAUAUCUGGUUGUGUUUGCAGCUCAUAUUCGGUGUGUCGGUGUGUCACCUCAAACCCAACACAAAGCUUCAGGAAUCACUCACUAUGAUGCUUCCUUUUUCCUAUUGAGGCGAAAGUUUGAGAGAGCUUUGAAAAUUGAAGAAGCAGCGGAGCAAAACCUCCCUUUGUUCCCCAUGACUGCUGUGAACUCAUGCAGGACCACGCAUCAGUCCAGGCUGCCAAGCUCUGCUGGAGACAGGGAGGCCCAUCGGUCGGGACCGCGGGCCGCUUUCACGCCGGGUUUAUCCACGGCACGGCGAUCAGUGGGAUUAAAGCGCUAACGGAUAGUAACAAGCCUACUCGCGGCCUUUUCAACACGCUGUCAGCGCUCUGGACUCAAAACGCACGCGAGCCCCGAAGACGCUGCCAGAGGACAAGUGUCUUCAGGUAAGCGUCAGCUCAAAUUUGGCUUUAUUUGUCGGGCACAUCAUCGCAUAUGUACAUGUGUCCAAUCGAAUCCCCUCCAAUAUUGUUGUAGAUUGUCCCAGAUUAUCGCAGUACUCGUCACUUUCAACCGCAUCCACUCCUUGAAGUCUCAGUGCCCUUUGCACAAUGGUCGUUGCACCGGACUAUUGCGAUAUUAGCCAUUCGAACUGAGGACUCUGCAUCUUUUUGCACAAUUGUUGUUUGUUGUUGUUUUUUGUCAAUGUCUUUAUGUCUCCAAAGUGUUCUGUAAAUUGACCGUCUGUUGUCGCACUUGAGCGGCUCCAACUACCGGAGACAAAUUCCUUGUGUGUUUUGGACAUACUUGGCAAAUAAAGAUGAUUCUGAUUCUGA